UGGGUCGAGGUGGGCGUUGURCCACCAAAGCCUGUUCAGCUCGGCUUGGCCAGCUCGCUCCAGCUUCUGAAAUUGAAAAAGUUUGUGUGGAGCACAAGAUUCGAAGAAACUGCUGAGACAAAAUGACAAAGAAAAAUCCACCUUUAUUGGGAGAGGGUGAGUAUUUUGAAGAGUCUGCCCAAAUAGGUCCUGUGAGUGCAUUGUGUAUAAUCAGAAUGUAGCCACAGAUGAAUCCAGGGGCACAUGAAUUUAGUGGUCUUGCAAAGCACGUGCUUGUGCUGGGGACACAGAAAAUGGCCAUGUGUGUUUCUGGUCCCUUGGCACGACCCUCCUGGAUUUUGUGGAGCAUUGGAGCAGGGGCCUGGAGCUGAGCACGGGUGGGAAGURCCAUCUGGGAUGUGGAAUUGGCUGAAGGGGAAUUUGUAAGUCAAGGGCAGACCUGGGAUUGGCUGGUCUGGCAAGAGGGUACUGCUUUUGGGGUGCUUCAAAAUGGGGGUGCUGGGGAAGGGCGGGGGUAAGGUGCAAGUAAAAAAAGGAAUGUGCUCUCCUGUGGACCAGGCUUGGAAAUGACGUUCCUGUCGAUUCGACCUGGUGGGGCUGGGAUAUUACAGAGAAACUGAUACUGGAAGUGGGUGUAUUGUAGGGUAUGGGUGGGACACACUUGGUGUGUUUAGGCUAUGAAAUACAGCCCUACUCUGUUGAUCUCUCAGGCUACAGUGUACAACUCAAUAAACUGAAUUUGCUUCGGCUUUGUUUGUGUUUUUGGCGACUUACCUGUAUAUUAUAAGGAAAACUUCAUGUUCCUAGUAGUGCAUCUCCCUUGUGUAGAGGUACAAUUCAUGUGUGCCACUGRCCCUUCUCAAAAAAGUAAAGAAAUGCACACCACCACUGUUAGGGCUGGUUUAGGAGCAGAUGCCUUCAAUCUGGGUUUAGAUAAUCUCAUGGCACAAAGUCCAUAAAAUCAUUAAGGCCUAAAACCAGAAAGGUUAAAUGGAGUCUGUAGCCCCAGAUGUGAUUUGGUGGGGAAAGCAGGUAAAGGGUUCCCAC